GUCACCUAGGGAUGCCCAGCCUUGUGAGAGCCGAUCCAUUCCAAAAAGACAUGGAAAGUAGCAUUUCUAGAGAGUAAUGGUCAUAAGGGUCUUUCUUUAUUCAGUUUGGUAAAUUAUAUUCCUGGUCUCUGUUUGUCUUCCUUGGUUUGUACUCACUAACCUCCAAGAUGAGAAGUGGGCCUGUCCUCUCGAGGUUUCUCGUACCAAUGCAGGCAUGUGCAGAGUUGCUCUUGACCUUUCCUUUGCAUCAAAUGACGGAUCAGCUCAGAGCUCGUGCCCCUUCCAUGGGGUCUGAGCCCAUGCCGCCCUUUCUUGUGCAUGAUCCCAGGGAGGUCAGGGAGAACACAGCAGAUGGGAAGGUGUGUCAACAAGGACAGUUACUGAGAGGCAGCCUAGAGGCAGCCGCAGCUGGAUCACAUCCCUGUGGAACUUGGAGGAACACUUGAGGAAAGGCAGCCUGUGCCCUGGGCAUGGGCUCCCCAGGUAGCACUAGUGGUAAAGAACCUGCCUGCCAGUGCAGGAGACUUAGGAGAGACGGGUUAGAUCCCUUAGUUGGGAAGAUCCUCUGGAGGAGGGCAUGGCAACUCACUCCAGUAUUCUUGCCUGGAGAAUCCCAUGGACAGAGGCGCCUGGAGGGCUACAGUCCACGGGGUUGCAUAGAGUUGGACACGACUGAAGAGAUUUAGCACAUGUGCCUUGGGCACAGGCAAGUGCAGGUGGGCAGGCUACACCCAAAUACCAUAGCUUCUCAUGGCAUCCCUCAAAGAGUGUGUCCCCUGGGGUAGAGUACGUGGUUCUCACCAUGGCCACGCACGGGGCUCGUGCCUGGGACUCAGAAAACACAGACAUACAUGCACACAACACACACUGACCUCAGGCCCGGAGUCAGGACACCUGAGGGUGCGUGCGUUACCCAGAUGUCUCAAUUAGCAGGUGACUUACUGCCAGACCUGCGCUCUCUGCAUCUAGCUCUGGAGAGCCCUGAGCAGCGGACAUGAACACAGAUCCGUGCACUCAUGAUGCUGUUCUGAAUACAGGUGGGCACUGGUCAGAGGUCCCCAGCUCAGUCUCCAGCAGCCAGCCAGCCUCUGCUCAUCCUGAAAAUAGGUAACUCCUCUGGCAUCAGGACCAUACACACCUCAGCUGCCAACAGGCCUCUGGAAAGCAGGGGCCAGGACUCUGCUGGUGAUCCCCUGCCAGGAACAAGCCCUGAGCUCUGUGGGCCUCACCCUCUCCUUAUCCAUCACCAGAUACUCUGAGCAUGAAGGUGUGUGGCACAGAAGACAUUGUACUGUUAGAGGACUAUUCUCUGGGCCCUUUCUCGUCCAUGAAUAGCUAAAUUGACGUGGAGACUUAGAGUGUGUUUUUUUUUUUUAAAAAAAAGGGGGCCAUCAAAGACCAUUUUACGCUAUUUUUUUUUAAACCUUGACCCCAGAACUAACUUUUUAACCUCAACACCUUCCCGUAGCAGAAAAUCCAUCUGCCAAAUGGUUAGUCACCAAGGCUGAAGCAAAAUUGCCAGGAACUCUAUGAAACCAGGCAGUGACUCCCAUGAUACACUUAUCCCAGGGAAGUAAUUCCACCUCCCACUGCUCCCUGCAACUGUGGUGCACUGGCUCUGCCUCUGUGUUCUGGACAUGGGGAGGCCGCGAGGGGGACAGCUGUUGAGAUGCUCCUAGAAGCAGUGCCAAGGGAAGGGGACAAGCAGGUCAGCUGGUGAGCUCUCCUGCCACCCUCAGGCGGCCUAGGUGGUAAGCGUGACGGCUGGAACCAAGUGGAUCCUACCAGGUGAGUAGACCCUCUGGAGAGUGGCAGGAAAGGCACACCGAGCCCGUGAUCAUCACCACUGGUGUUUGGAUCAGGACCUGUUGUGUCUCCUAUUGUGCUUUUAAUUUUCCUGAUGUGGAGUUUGUCCUCCUAACACUGACUUUGGGUUUGUGUGGGGGGGUCAAGCUCACGCAUGUGAGUAACAAUCUAUUUGCCCUUUAACCUCUGACUGAGGGAAUGGAUUGAGUUAAGUUUGUUGUCACCCUAUAAGGAGUUUGCACUUCUUAAAACAUGUAAUUCUUUAAGUUCAGUUUUACACUAUAAAGGUGGGCAGAAUAAGGACCCACAUCUAAUGCAGCCGUGAGACGAAUACUGAGCUGAAAUGAAACUGCUUUGACAUUUCAUCAAAAAUGGCUGAUUAUUUUGUUUGUUUAGGGCAGAGGUCAGCAGACUUUUUCAAUAAAAGGCCAGGUAAAAAAUACUUCAUCUUUCAAGCCAUGUGGUAUCUGUUGAAAUGUCUCAGGUCUACUGUUAAAUGAAGGCAGCCUGGACUUAGGAACAAAUGGUCAUGCUGUGUUCCAUCAAAACUACCUGUGAAGUUAGAAUUUCAUAUAUUUCAUGUGUUCCACAAUGUUAUUCUUGUUCUGAUUUUCUUUCAACCAUUUGAACAUUUAGACACGUCCCC
ensembl:lncRNA